AACCAAUGAUGAUAAGAUUCUGCCAAAUGAAAGAGACUGAUUUCACCUAUAAAACGUUCCUUUUUUUAUUCUGAGGUU
rnacentral:snoRNA from 13 species